rnacentral:rRNA from 1 species
GACGAACGCUGGCGGCGUGCUUAACACAUGCAAGUCGAGCGGAAAGGCCCUUUCAGGGGUACUCGAGCGGCGAACGGGUGAGUAACACGUGAGUAAUCUGCCCUUCACUUUGGGAUAACCCCCGGAAACGGGAGCUAAUACCGGAUAUGACCGGCAACCGCAUGGUUUGUUGGUGGAAACUUUUUUGGGUGGGGGAUGUGCUCGCGGCCUAUCAGCUUGUUGGUGGGGUAAUGGCCUACCAAGGCUUUGACGGGUAGCCGGCCUGGGAGGGUGACCGGCCACACUGGGACUGAGACACGGCCCAGACUCCUACGGGAGGCAGCAGUGGGGAAUAUUGGACAAUGGGCGGAAGCCUGAUCCAGCAACGCCGCGUGAGGGAUGACGGCCUUCGGGUUGUAAACCUCUUUCAGCACCGACGAAGCGUGAGUGACGGUAGGUGCAGAAGAAGGACCGGCCAACUACGUGCCAGCCGCCGCGGUAAGAC